GUAAGGAAUAUUGGACAAUGGACGCAAGUCUGAUCCAGCCAUGCCGCGUGAAGGAUUAAGGUCCUCUGGAUUGUAAACUUCUUUUAUAAGGGACGAAAAAAGGCUUUUCUAAGUCGUCUGACGGUACCUUAUGAAUAAGCACCGGCUAACUCCGUGCCAGCAGCCGCGGUAAUACGGAGGGUGCAAGCGUUAUCCGGAUUCACUGGGUUUAAAGGUUGCGUAGGCGGGCAGGUAAGUCAGUGGUGAAAUCCUAGAGCUUAACUCUAGAACUGCCAUUGAUACUAUCUGUCUUGAAUAUUGUGGAGGUAAGCGGAAUAUGUCAUGUAGCGGUGAAAUGCUUAGAUAUGACAUAGAACACCUAUUGCGAAGGCAGCUUACUACGCAUAUAUUGACGCUGAGGCACGAAAGCGUGGGGAUCAAACAGGAUUAGAAACCCGUGUAGUCC
rnacentral:rRNA from 1 species